UUGAAGAUAUAAAUAACAACAUAAAAUUUAAAUAAACUUUACUUUCAACAUAAACAAUUAAUUUUUAAUCAUUUCGAAUUAACAUUUACAAUUAAUCGAUCCAUAAAUUAUUCACUUGAUGAAAUUUUCACAAUCAUCAUGAAUAUAAACAAAUCACAUCAUCUGAAGUGUGGUAUGAUUAAUUGGCAAAAGAUGUAUAAAAUCCAACGUGAUUUGCAGUGCAUCAUCAUACGGACACCAUCCACAAGGAGCUGUACCACAAAAGUCUAAUGAUGUUUCAUUGAACUUCAUACUUUUUUUCAAUCUUUCAAUAAUAAUGUCUUUGGAACGUGAUUCUGGUUGACUUAUAGAAUUAGGAUUCUCUUUCAUUGGAUUUGGAGUUGUUUCGUCCUAGAAUUUAAACAUACUUUUAUUAAUCAGGAGCAAAUUCAACAGGUCCAACUAUUACUUGUUGAAUUGAAUUAUUUGUUGGAUGGUUCAAAUACAAAUAAAUGAAUUCAGUGUACAUAAAAUUUAAAAAAAUUGAUAAUUUUAUCAUGAAAAUAGUAAUACGUAGUUUAGAGGAAAAACGAAACGUAGAAAAUUGUGUGAAAAACUCUAAAUUUAGAGAUACUGAGAUUUGUUUUUCAUUUCGUUGAGAAGUCAGUAUGAUUGUAAAUGUACAUAUAAAGAGACAGGUCACUAAUAUUUAUCUAUGGAGAUACAGAUGUUGUAGAUGAACACACUGACAUUGAAAGCAAGUGAUAAAAAAUGGAUUUCGAUUGACAUUUUAAAAAAUUGUGCAAUUCGAACGUUGAACUCAUAAAACAAGUUUGACUAGUUUGAUUAAAAUUCAAUAAUGCAAAUAAUACACCCGAAGCUUAUAAAUAAUAGACAUUAUAAUCGGUAUAUUAAUACGUAUUAGUGAAGUAUAAAAUUCCGGAAAAUAUGUAAGUAAAAAUGUGUGAGAAAGUAAAUGGGAAAGAUGAUAAUAAGGGAGAGGAUUAAGAGUUAGCUGAAUAAUUUUUCUGACGUCUUCAAGUUUUUCUUUAUCAUUCUUAUAAAAAUCAUUGACGUACAAACUAAUUUAUCUAAAUUAAUUAUUAAUUUUACAAAAAUAAAUGUCAGAUAAAUAAUAACGUAUAAUGAUGAAAAAAAGUAAUAUUUAAUAAAAAUUAGGCGGAAAUGAAUGAAAUUUUAUAACAAAAUUUAAGGAGCUAUUUCCAAGGAUUUAAUGAAAAGAGCUCAUAAAUUUUUCUCCUCUAUAAUCUCCGCAUUCUUUGAAUAUAAAUCAACAAAUGUGAACAAUAUUCGGAGAAUAGUAUAUAUCAUGAAUAGCUAUAGAAUCGAAAUGCUGACAAUAUAAAUUCUCUUGUUAAUAAAAAUAAUAUUUUGACGGUAAUAUAUAACGUUCUGACGACAAUACAUAUAUACUAGUAAUACCCCUUACGUUUAAUAUACGAUUAAAGUUCAUUUAAUUUGAAGAAAUUAUUUUCAUUCUUCAAUAUGUUUAUAAACUCUACCACAA